UUUAGUCCCGGAUUGUCUGCUACUGGGUAAAGUUAUCCCAGGUAAGAAAAAAUAGCGCUUCGGUUUUUCAUUUGCAAAAAGUGAAACACACAAACUUGAAAUAAAAAGAAGGGAAAUGAAAAAAACGUAAAAACAUUGAUUUUAUGGUGGUUUAAAUAGUUUUAAUAGAUUUAAUUAUUUUUUUUUUAAAGGAAAAGCGAAGAAAAAAAGAAGUUUUAAAACAAGAUUAAAAAAAAGAUUUUUAAAUCUUUUACUCACAUUAAUGUUUUUAGUUUUUUCCAUUUUUCCACGUUUUUUCUUUACUUAAAGUUUUAAAACAGUUUUAAUUAAAUAAUAUUAAUAAAAAUAAAAAAAAAUAAAAAUUUCAAAAAUGAAAAAAUAAAAGUUGGAGCUUAAAAAAAAGCGCAUAUGAAAAAUUAAAAAAAGUUAAUCCGUUAAUUUAAAAUUUUUUAUAUUAAAUUUUCCUCAAAAUUGUGUAAAUAUAUUCAGCUACAUACAUAAUAUAUUAAUAUACAUAACACAUUACAUUUAUAUAAGGUAAUAUAAGAAUGAACAUUAAAAAAAAAUAGAGAAUAAAAAUAUAAGUGAAACAACAACCAAAAACCAAAAUAAAAAAAUAUCAAAUGAUUAAUUUGUAUUUUUACCACCAUUUACAUAAAAAACAAAAAAAAAAUUAAAUUAGUCGACAUUUUGUUUGAGUUCGUACUAUAACAGUAAAAUUAAGGCAACUGUUUUUAUUUUUUUUCGAUUGUCAGAAAUACAAAGAGAUAAAAAGAUAUAAAAAUUCAAAUAACAAACUUCCAAAGUUUUAUAAUUAUUAUCCUUCUCCCGUUUUCUGUAAAUAUAAAAUAUACAUUCUCACAUAUGUAUUUACGUCAAUUUUCGAAAAUAUAAUAAGAAUGAAAAAGAACACACCUAGACACAUACAUGCAUUCAUACAUUUUUACAUUAUAGUUUUAAGUUUUGUUUACAAUACAAUUAAAAAUUAAAACAAACAAAAAAAAAACACAAUUAUAAAAUUAAAUUGAUUUUUUCGCGUUUUAAUAAAAACUUUGAAAACAAAAAGCAUGUGACUGUAAAACGUUCAAUAAAUACGAAUAUUAAUAAAAAAACGAAAAAAAUUUAAAUAAUCAAAUUCAAAUUUUUGGAAAAAAGACAAAAAUUGUAUCUAUUUAUAUAAAUGUGUGUUUACUUAAUAUUAAAAACAAAAAAAAAACCAAAUUCUAAAUUAAGAAAUAAAUAAUAUUUUUUUAAUUUUUUUUUGUUUGUUAAAAAUAACAAUUGUGAAAAUUUUAAUAUUAAGUAUUUUAAAUAAAAUAUUUAAGAGCAAAAUACAUACAUAAAUACAUAAAAUUUAGUGAUCGUACUUAGCCUCUUAUAUAGUAAAAAUCAAAAACUGUUCAAAAUCAAAACUAAAUUUUAAAACUUUAAGAGUUGUAAGAGUUAUCGUAUUUAGUUCUUCCUGUAUUAUUGUGUUUUCUUUGAAAUAAUUGCAAAAAAUAAUUUAUUAAAUUUCUGGAAAAUGAUUUGAUUCUAAUGUAGCAGAAAACAAAAAAAUCUCAGUUAUUUAAAUAUUUAAUAACAGUUAUUUAAAUGUUUAAUAAAUUCGCAUAUAUACAUACAUAUGUAUGUACAUAUAUUAAAUAAUUGUGGCUAUAGAAAUCAUUACAAUUUAAAUACAAUUAAAAAUCCUGGGUAAAUGAUGAUAUUAUUGUGUUGUAUUUCAAACCUAAUAUAUUCAUACAUAAACACGAUACAAAUAUAAAUAAGUUUAUAAAAAAAUUAUAUAUUAUUUUGUUUUUCUGAAUCAAUUUAAAUUAAAAAUACCGUUAUAUAAGAUCAAAAAUAUUUGUAUAUAAAAAUAUUAUACAAACUAUAAACCUAUAUAAAAAUAUUAAAAUUUAGAGCAUUGGGAUUGAAAAUAAAAUAAAGAAAUAAAAAUUCAAUUGAAAUAUCAUUUUAAAUAAAUAGUGACCUGACCGGGGUUUGAACCCGAGACCCUUCGGUUAAAGGACCGGUGCCAUAACCACUGCACCAAUGGUGAUCAAUAAUCAACAGAGAAACAGAGAAAUAAUCAACCAAUUUGUUUGAAACUUCAUAUUGCUUUGAACGAAAUCGUUUCAUAUUUUUACAGACUUUGUUAUAUAGCAGCAAUUAAUUGACGGAAUUUCUUCAAAUUAAUUACUUAAGUUCUUGUUGAUAAUAGCUUAACUAGCCUCUACUAUAUGAAUAUGCAUACGUACG